UAAAAUAUUUCAGCCUCUGAGACUUACUGUUGAAUAAGUUCAUCUUUAUCAGUUGUUUCUGAACUCUGGCUGGCUGGUUC